AUUGAACGCUGGCGGAAUGCUUUACACAUGCAAGUCGAACGGUAGAGGGGGCAACCCCUCGAGAGUGGCGAACGGGUGAGUAAUAUAUCGGAACGUGCCCAGUCGUGGGGGAUAACGUAGCGAAAGUUACGCUAAUACCGCAUACGAUCUACGGAUGAAAGCGGGGGACUCGCAAGAGCCUCGCGCGAUUGGAGCGGCCGAUAUCAGAUUAGGUAGUUGGUAGGGUAAAGGCCUACCAAGGCGACGAUCUGUAGCGGGUCUGAGAGGAUGAUCCGCCACACUGGGACUGAGACACGGCCCAGACUCCUACGGGAGGCAGCAGUGGGGAAUUUUGGGACAAUGGGCGAAAGCCUGAUCCAGCCAUGCCGCGUGAGUGAAGAAGGCC
rnacentral:rRNA from 1 species